AAUGACCCGACCCGGUGGUCCAAUUCCUUCUUCAGCAUCGACAUGACUACACCGACAUUGAUAUGACUACACCGACAGUGAUAAGACUACUACAGCAUACAAUAUUCUCUUUUCAAUAAAGAAGACGCGUCCCUCUACAGGAAAGAUUCCUUCUGCAUAAACGACAAAAGCCACGUUGCACUCCCUCUACAGGAAAGAUUCCCUCUUCAUAAGACGACAAAGGCCACGUCACAUAAAGGACAACCUUGCUCCCUUUCAGGUCACAUCAACCAAUAGUCAUCAGCAAAUCAGUGAUAGCCACGUAUCAUCUCCUUAUCUUUACGAA
rnacentral:lncRNA from 1 species